AUACGGAGGGUCCGAGCGUUAUCCGGAAUCACUGGGCGUAAAGCGCGCGCAGGCGGCUUGAUAAGUUGGAUGUGAAAGCCUACGGCUCAACCGUAGAACUGCAUCCAAAACUGUCAGGCUAGAGUGUGGGAGAGGAAGAUGGAAUUAGUUGUGUAGGGGUAAAAUCCGUAGAGAUAACUAGGAAUACCAAAAGCGAAGGCAAUCUUCUGGAACACUACUGACGCUGAGGCGCGAAGGCGUGGGGAGCAAACAGGAUUAGAAACCCCAGUAGUCC
rnacentral:rRNA from 1 species